UGACUCCGUAACUGGACAUUUUUUCUCCCGCCGUAUCUCCCUGCCUGGUCGUCCCACGCCCAUCUCCAUAGCGGAGGGGUGCUCCACGCCUCGGGCUCAGGGGCUGUAUUGCUGCCCCUCCUCCCCACCUUCCUCAGCUCCAAAGGAGCAUCAGCUGCGCUCUCACUGAUGCUUCUCCUAACUGAGGGAGGCCAGGGCCACUCCUCCCUCCCUCUUGUGGUCCAGGGUUGUACUCAGCCACCUCCAGGAUCUCAGUGACCAAAAGCAACAACAAACAACAAGACACCCAGCUUGACAAUGGUUGCCUAUGGAAUAGCAGAACACAGUCAUGGAAGAAGCAGCAAAAAAUAAAAAAAUGAUGGACUCAUACAUGAGUGAAUCGAAGUGAAGGACAAGUCUUGAAAGGAACGAGGCUGUGGGGACCUCACGCGAAGGAAAGCAGAAAACGCCACCCCGGUCAGCACUGCUUUUGCAGGAGACUGUGCUGACACCAUCAGAGGCACCGUUGCUGAGACAGCAAUCCAGAAAGAAAGAGCUGCUGAAGUUUUCUCCAGCUUGUCAAGAACGUUAGGAAAGUAGCUUCUUUUAAAACUUACAUAAAACUGGAUUUAGGCCAUGCCUGGAAGCAACCACAACACAGCUUCUUUUCCAUCCCCCGGCACCCGCUGGCAGCCUCAGCAGCUGACCUCCAAACCACAGACAGGAAGGUGCCCCAGAGGCAUGGCUGAUCCACAGGAUGCUGUAGGAUCCCAUGGAAGAACUCUGGUACCAAGACAAUGAUUUCCAAUCAUAUAUGAUUACUCUAACCUGGAUGCAUUUUGUUGAUAAAGUACAAUUAUAAUAAGUGAAUUGAGAUGAAUUUCAGAAAGCAGUAGUGUAUUCUCAGCAUCCUAAUCAGAAGGAGAAACCCAGUAGCAGGUAGGCAGGCAGAGGACAUGAAGCUGAGCCUUCCACCUGUAUGGUCUUGGGUAGAUCACUUUAUGCUGCUGAAACUUAAUGUUUGUUUUAAUAGAGGCAAGGUGACCAAAUGGGUCACAAACUCCUUUCUGAUUCUCCUGUUCUAUUUGCUCUUUCUUGUUAUUAAAGAAUGUCCAAGUCA
rnacentral:lncRNA from 1 species